rnacentral:lncRNA from 1 species
CAAUUGUUUCUGCAGCGGCAGGUUUGCGAAACAGAAGUCUGGAAAACAAAGCUGUAAUUGUGAGUGAGGCGGAGAAGAAUGUUUGGCCUGCAAUCACAGGCGUACAAGUAUUUUCCAUUGACGGGAGCAGCAGAGGCUCACCAGCUCAUGGAAAGCAGCAAGCAUGUUGGGAAGAUACCGUGCAUUCAAUUAUGUUAUGGUUAUGAAUGAUCUUAUGCCUCAGAGGGAUGACAUGAUUUUAAAACUCUUAAUGAGUAUCUACUAUCUUGAGUUGAUUGUAGUUGAUUGUAGUUUGAGCAUGAAAAUUUGAAGAUCCAGAACAGCAAAUGCAGAAUGCCUAUCAAUUUGAAACCAGCAUGGGUGGAUGAAUGGAGAGGUUCUUCACUGAAUUUGUCCAUGAAGUGGUUUCCAUUAAAUUGCUUGAUUUGAA